rnacentral:tRNA from 1 species
GGGGAAUUAGCUCAGUUGGCAGAGCACUUGACUUUUAAUCAAGUUGUCCGGGGUUCGAAUCCCCGAUUCCUCA